rnacentral:lncRNA from 1 species
CAUACUCCUUUCUUCUUAUUAUUGUCUGCCUUUUUUGCCCCCCAAUGUUCUUCAAUCAAUUUCUUGAACCCCUCUUCGCCAAGCUAGUGAUCGUACAGUUUAAAAGGUCUCGACCCCUAGUUAAUUUCCUUAGAACUAACUUUAAUUAGACAAUGAUCCAAAAUUGAGUAAGAGAGACAUGACUAAAUAACAUUAUUGAAGCAACUUAAAAAAUCUACAUUGAAUAAAAUGUUGGCUCCAUUAGUUUUUGAUGAUAAUAAAACAUUCUCAUUCAUUUGUGUCUAAUAUUUCUACGUAAGUGUGCAGGAUAAGAAUUGUAUGCCAAUGAUAAACAAAUUAUUUCAAGGGACAUAAAAAAUUAUAUGUAUAAGAAGCCACAAUUAAUCAACAAAACAGAAGCUCCUUAGUUGAAUAAUAAAUGGUUCGUCAGCUAAAAUUCAAAUCAAAAGUUGGCGGGCUUAAGAGUAUUGAGAAACAGAAAAGACUUACUUAACCAAAAAAUGGGUCAGUAGACUAAAAGCCUAAUGCCAGAAAUCUGGACUUCAAGAUAGAACCAACUUAAUCGACUAAGGAGUAAGUUAGUCGACUAAGUGCUCACUGCCAAAAGCAGAGAACAAAAGACAGAAACAACUUAGUUGACUAAGAUAUCAGUUAGUCGACUAAGAGCAUUUUGUCAGAAAAUUUGAAUUGUGCACUAGAAAACAAAUUAACGGCCAUAACUGCUACCAAACUGUUUCCAACGGUCAAAAACUGCCUAACACCUAUCGGAGUUGAUUUCUUAAGUAUUUAAGAGGCUCCCAACAGUUAGAAAUGCAAUCAAGGCUUCCAAGUCCAAAAAGAGCUCAAAAAUUGUAAAAAUCUUCAGCAUACUUUCUGCACUUCACUCUUAUCCUUAUAAAAUGUUCAAGCACUUCACUUUGUACCACUUAGAUCAAGUCAGUGAUCAUAGGUACACCUUUAUUUCUCUUCUUCUUAUAUACUUAGAGUGUGUGAGACACUCUAAGGGAAUUUAUUCAAGCUUGGAUUACUUGAUUGGGCGUAUAGGUUCUAACUUAGCCUAGAAAAGUUAGUUGUUGGGUUUUGGUUGAUCUCGGUAAAAACCAUUGUGAAAGGUUUUGGCUAAGCCUGGUAAAAGCCAUUGUAAAAGCUUGGUGAAAGCUUGUGAAUUUCACCUUUCAUAGUGGAUUGGUUUGGAAAAUCCUUGGUUAAACAAUCAAGGUAGUGGAUUUAGGUCUUGGACUGAACCACUAUAAAUUCUGGUGUGAUUGUCUGCUCUGUUUUUAGUUUUUCACUCAUAUUUAAAUCUCUCUUUUAUCUUGCAUUUUUCUUCAAUUAGAAGUUAAUUCUUGUAAGAGCCAAAAUGUCAUGACUCGGUACUCCCCUCGAGCAAGUGACAACCGUCGCGGUGUCCCGAUCGACACUCAUUACUCGGAAUGUUAACCGAAACCCCGCAAGACUUUAAUAUCAGUUUCUCAUUUCCCCUAUGAGUAACCGUUGCCAAAUAUCAUGGUCUAAAAGAUUUUAAAUUGUUUCCAACUUAAAUCAAUAAAAAAAAUGAUUUCUGUCUCACAGGGGCAUUUUGGUCAUUUUUCCUUAAAAAUCUCGAAACCAGCUGAAAAUGUAGUAUGCAAGUGUAAAACACAUAUUUCAUAAUCAAAAAUAAGUUUAAAUAUCUAAAACAUUCAUUUAAAGUAAAAUUAUAACUAUUUGAAUAUAAUAAAAAUAUUCAAUAAAAUAUUCUAUUUUCUUGUAAAACAAUAUUUAUAGAGUUACCGGUAAAUAAUUUUUGUAGCGUAAAAGCUAAAUAAAUUCAUACAUAUUGUAAUACAGAUAACCAAAGUACAAAAUUUAAUUUACAAUUACACGUGGGCCCAUGAAUGAUCAAAAGUAUCAAAAGCGGUAAACCUACAGUUUUUGAGGAUGCAAGUCCAACUGUAGCCCUCAACAAAGUGAGCUAUCUAUCGACUAUCCUGAGCCUGAAAUGGGUGGAAAGGAGGGUGGUGAGAUUAUAUAAUCCCACUGAGUAAACAAAUAUCAUUUAAAAUAUCUAAAGCUGAGUAAAUAGAGACAGAUAAAAUAGAUUAGCAUAAAAAUGAUUCUCAGCAUUUCGAACACAUUUUAAUAAGAUAAAAUAGAUUCAUUUCACCAAAAUAAACAACGAGGCUUAUAAUUUCUUGAAAAGUUUGGCUCGUGCCAAAAUCAUUCUCAUACUCAAUUAUCAGGGAUACCUUGGCUGAGGACUAUCCCAACCGAGUCCGCCAAGGUUGUUAAAACGUUAUGUACGCAUAAAUCAUGUUUUUAUUUUGAAAACAUAGCCAUUCCUUAGCGUUGGCUGAGUUCACCCUCACGUGGUGGUUUGGCGUGAAGUGAACUCUAAAGUUUUAACCUUAGGAGUUAUCUAACCGCGCCUUUCAUACUGAGGUAUGAAUAUGAUAGGGUUACCGUGCCCCUCUAAUAGGCUAGUCCACGGAACCCGUCUACUGUAGUGACCAAUUAUAACCCACCAAUUCUAUAAAAUUCAACAACAUGACAUGACAAUUAUUUCAUUUUACAGCCUCUCAAGGCAAAUCAAUAGUUCAUACUUUUUCAGCACAUUUACCAAAUCCAACCAUUCAUGCCAAUAUUAUCAUAAGCCAUUCAAUUCAAACCAUGAUUUAUAACACAACAAUUAGUCUCCAAUUACUCCAUUUUCAAAACCAUCUUUUAAUUUUAAGACAAUUUUAGAAAAUCAUUUCAUUUAAUCACAUUUUGCUUAUAAAACAUAAAAUUUACCAUUUAAACUCAUUUUCCAUAAAAUCACAAAAACGAAUUAAAAUUCACUUCAGAUAAUCAAGAUGAUGAUAAGGUUACUCAUUGUAAUGAAAAUCGAGUUCCGAGUACUCCGAUUCUUGAUCCUCGGGUACUAUCUCUUUACUUUUGCUAGAAUGCUCACCACCUAGACAUAAUGCACAAUAAGCCAUUUACUACAUUUGUGCUAAAUUGUUAUAAAACUAAUCUAAACUCUAUAUGAAUGCAUGAUAUGGAACGCGAAUUGUUCGGAUUAUCGUCUACAUGCAGUGUUGGCCUAACUCGAUCUAUCACUUGAUUAAUUGGCCAAUACGUCCAAUUCAACUCCAAAUAAUUCCAUUUUUCUCCCAAUACUCUAAAUCAUCAAACACAAAUUAAAUAACUUGAAAUAUGGCAAAAUCAUCCUCACAUUUUCUCUUGGAAAAUUCAGCCAUGGUGGGUGCAUCAACACUAUAAUUUUUCUUACUUGAUUUUCUCACCAUAAUUCAUCAUUUCCUAACCAAUUCACUUGAAAUAAAAUCAAAUCCACCAUCAACACUCUACAAGGAAGAUUUGGCCAAUGAUGAACUCAUGAGGAAUAUGUGAAUUUCAAGCUUAAUUCUUACACUUAACACCAUAAACAACUAAAAACAUCCAUAUAUCUUAAAAAUCUAUCUAAAUCAUCAUCAAAUUCUCUCUCCUAGGGUUUGAUCAGCACACUAUCCUUCAUGAUAUCUUGUGAUUCAACCAUGAAAAAUGCAAAAUAAUGCAUAGGAAAGAUAGAUCACAAGCUAGAGUUAAGAAAUUUCACCUUUGAUGGCUUGAUUACUUGAAAUCCACCAAUUUUCUCUUGAAUUUUCAUUCUAGGGUUUUUGUUCUUCUUUUCUUCCUUUGUUU